rnacentral:misc_RNA from 1 species
UGGUAGUCUUGUGUUUAUAUCCUGUCUUGAAAUGUAGAAACUGGCAUUUGACUUUAAGACAUUAGAUAAAGAGGAAAUAAUUUCUUUUAGAGCCAAAGAAGUUUUAGAGGUUCAUAUUCUAUCAUACAAUGACAAACUUUUUCCUGGUUGUUUCCUUCAUGCUUAUUCUAAAAAGCAUAGUUUGAACUUUGAGCAAUUGGAAAAA